UGAGGCCACAGGAAAGAAACGUUGGAAACUGGAGAGCCAGGGCUGGCAUCAGCAGAACCGAACAGAAGCAAAGAUGGUGCAGCGUUGUGAUUCUCUCUGUUAAAUGUGGGCCAAGGAUCAUCUGGACAGGUACCUGGAAAGGGCUGAAGUGCUGCCGCAAGGGAACUGGGACUGGAGUCGUGUGCACUGGCUUCCGCUGUGGCAAUGGUUCUACGCUACCGUAAGACAAGGAGAAAAGCCAUCUUCCAUUGGCCAAGGAAUACCGAAAACGACGGGACAAGGAAAGGCAUUCAUUUGUUGGCUCCUCCAGUACAGUCACCUUUAAAGAUAAGUCUAAUUUUUUAAACAAUACUACUUCUGGAAUACUUUCUUUAUUAUGGUGUUUAUAUUAUAUUAUAUUAUCAUAUACAGUCCUUAUAUUCAGAUUUUGAUGGUCUAUGUAAAGUCAAGAUUAUCACGUUUAGGCAUUUACAUUUUAAUGCACUUUCUGUAUUAAUUAAGCAAAUGUCAUUAAGCAAAUGUCAUUAAGCAAAUGACACGAUGGGAGCGUGCACUAUUCUGCAGCUGCACAUCUCAAUUGUUUCUUUAAGAAAGCCAAUAUUGAAAUACAUUUUUUUCGGUUAUAUGGUAUGUAGUAGCCAGUUGAAGAAGUGUAAUCCAUCAUCUUCAACUCUUCCACUGGGACACAUUUGGGAGUGAAAAAUGGAGUCAUGCUCAAUAGAUCUGUGUUUAAUCUCAAUGAAAUGUCUUUCUUCCAAAGCAGAAGUUUCAGCAAACAAAACCUGAAUAUAAGAAGUCUGUUUAAUUUCCUAAUAACUGUUGAUGGGUGUACUUCAAGUAUGAUAAAGCUUUAAGAUGAGCAAUUACGCUACAUUUCAUGUUGUUCCAAGUCCAAAUUAUUUUGUGGAUAACCAUGCCAACAGUACAAAAGGCUUUUCUUUAUUAAUAUAAUUAUUCUAAUCCUCUAACUGCUUUUUACAUAUGUGUGUCAGGUACAUGAUGCUUUCUGGUUAUAAAGUGCAUUUCUUUGGCAGUGCUCUGGGUCUUCAGUAGGGCAGCUGAAAUGGUUGUGUGCUGGGAGGUGACUUCUUGGAGUGAUAAAGGUACAAGGAAACCUGUGCUGCAUUGGAAGGUGCAGAAUUCAACAGGACAACACUCAGGCUAGCAAAAUAACCAGAGAACAUCAUGUUUUAUUUCAGCUUUGUAGAGGUGCUUCCUUUACUGGCUUCCGAAUGGGUUUGCGUGUUUUUCGUUAGAUAGUAAAAAAUUCUGGUAGUGCCUGUUGUUGUGUUGGAGGAAGCUUUGGGUGGUUGUUCUCAGAAUAACCAGCUGGACGUACAGAUUUUCACAGUGGAAUGGGAAAUGUUCUAUUUUCUUCAGUAUUGGGCCCUUGAUAGUUUCUCCUCCUGUUGCUUUUUUCCAAAAAUAUUGGAAAGUUUGGGGUAGUUGUGUGGGCAACUUCUUGACUGAAACAGGCCGUCCUUGUUCUUUCCUGUUGUAGUGAGGAGCUCUCGUGUGCUGCCUGUUUGAAAACAGCUACUUUUAGGAAAAAAACCCACCGUAAUUUAAAUAGGAAAUGCGUAUGUGUUUAUACGAGGCUUUAUUUUGUAAAAAGAUGAAGCACCUUAUGAAAAAUACAUUAAACAAACAAAGAAGCAACAACAACAAUCCCCCACCCUAAAACCACCAACCCAAGCCUGGUCUAAACAGUUAUCCAGUGUGUCUGUGCUGUCUCCUUCAGUCACACUACCCAAGGGGUGGCGGUGAGGCUCUUUUCCCCACUCAGCAGGUCUUCCUUUGUUCCAUUCUGUCUCAAAUAAUAAUAGAAAUGAACUCUGAACACAAAUGGGUAUUAUGAGUAAACACACCUGUGCUUGGUUGAAAUAAAUAUUUGAUGUAUCUAUAAAUACAUAAGAAAAACAUAGACGGUAUCAUGAAAAUGUGGUACCUGAGGCUGGAAAGCACAGUAUGGUUUGAUGGGAACAAAGUUGCAGUCAAAGCAUGUUAUUAAUCUGGGGUGAGCGGUGGGGAGGCACGGCCAUGCGGGUUGGACUUUGCUGUUGGAGUAACCACCUCGUUGUUCGGCUGAACAACAUCCAAACCCAUCAGCACAGAACAGUCUGAUGCUCCGCUAAUGUUUGUCUUGCUGAAUGAGGCGUGCCGACAAAAACUCUUUCAUGCCUCAUCUACCACUAAGUGUUUCACCAAGUGCUUUUUUAGGACUAUCACUCUUAUUCAUCCAACAGAAUGACCUUGACAAUUGAUUUCAUUAUCUAGGCAAGUUAUUACUCUGUGUUGCUCUGGAUUAGCUGCAAUUCUGGGACUGAUAAUGUGUUCUUAAUUUGAAAUAAUGUUUUAACCUGGUGGUUGCUGAGGCCAAUCAAAUGAGAAACAGGAAACCAGCAGAAAUCACCACUGGGAAAUGUAGGAAUUCUUUGGUUCAUUAGCAUUUUAAACCUACGUUGAAAUGCAUAGAGAUGACUGUAAAGAUAUAGUAGAUUUCCUGGAAGCAUCCAAUUCUUAGCAAGUGUAAGUCAGACAACUGAAGUCAGUGGACUGGGCUGUGAAAACUGUAUUUUAAGAGAUUUUAUCAAAUUGGAAGGAAGAAGAGACUGCAAAAAUCCAUACACUUCUAAUAUAUUUUUCUAUUGACAACAUCUGCAAGAAAUGGAGAUAAAAUAGCAUUUUAACUUCUCUGUAACUGUUUAACACAUACAAUCUUUGGAAAUUCUGUGUUGAUGUUGAUCUUCAUCCAUUCAGUGAAGCCUGAGCACUGAGUUAUUCUUUGUGCAUUGGAACCCGGUUGUUUCCAGCAUUGCCUCUCCGUGAGUGCUCAGUUCCAUUCACACCCAGGUUGUGUUACCACCUUCCUUCUGGGGUUCCCGUUGCCCCAUCACACCUGGCAUCGAAAUAACAAGGUAAGCAGACAGUGCUGUAAUUUGGCAUCGUUGCAUGAAAGGUCCCAAUGUGAGUUACCAAACAGCUGGACAUGUAGACUGCAUUGAAAUCUGGUCUCGUUAUAAUCUUGUGUUCCGUCACUAGUUAAGUGCUCUUGUAGUGGUUUGUUGGAGGGAUUUUGAGAAGUUCUCACCACAGUUCUGUAUUGGAUCUCAAAGUUCUUGGAUGCUGAACAGGAUCUGGCAUAGGCUUUUAUAAAAUAAUGCCUGAGAAGUUUGAGGCCAACAUGGGCUGUUCAGAGCUAAAGAACUUAGAUUCAGGAAAAUUUUGAUCAAGGUAUUUUGUAUAUCACGGUUUCACAAAAAACAAACUGAUAAGGAUCAGGGCAGAGUCUUAUAUGUCCUACUGUCUGUUUUCUGACCGUGUUCUCCAUCACCUAACAGGGCAGAAGAGAAGGUGACUGUGCAAAUAAGGUCAGGCUGUUAGGAAGGAACAGGCCAUUGUUGAUCUAAGCUCUACUACCAUAAACCUACCACAGAUAAUUUAGGGUGGUGACAGUUUAUUUUUAAUCACUAAUAUCUCAGUGACUGCAACGGGAGGAAUAACUGAGUUAUCAAGAGGAAAAGGAUGGCGAUUGCUUGCCAUGACCUUUCAGCAUAGUUUGCUUCUUCCUCAUUUUUGAAGUUUCAGUUAGAGAGAUAAAUAUUUAUAUAUUUCCCCUGCAAUUUCUCCCCAUUAUAUCACUACGUUACAGAAUUUCUUUUCAGUGAAAAGAAUAAAGAAUUUGAAAGAGAAGAAUGAUCUUGAUCCUUCCAUCAGAGCUUUCACACACAGAUUUUAGGUUUGCUGUCAGUAUGCUUGUGGAAAACAGUUUUUUGGGCUUCGAAGGGAAAAGAUACAUUCAUAUUUGUAUUUCUUUUACAAAAGGCCCUUCCCUGGCUGUCUGUCCUGUAGAGAACACUGAUUGUAAUGAUAAAAAGAUAUUAGUAUCUUUCUUGUCCGUAGCUCAAGAUGUCAGUCUUAAGUAGCAGAAAAUUAAAGCCAAAAUUUAUCGUAUGUCUAAAGUUCAAACUAUUAUUUGAACUGAGCUCUGUACCCUGAGCAAAUCUAUGCUGAGAUGGGAUGUGACAGGUUUUUGACAAACAUUUGAAGAUGUCCACGAUUCAGACAUUUGAGCCAUCUGUUGGUUCUUUAUAAAUCAAAAUCUGCUUUUCUAUCAGAGGGUGAGGGAUUUGGUUAUCAGAGUUCCUCCAGGCUUCAGGCUGAACGGACAAGUGUCGUCCUCUGCACGUUGUUGUGGAUCCCGUGUAGCCACAGGAGUCCGAUGCAUUAACGCAGUGCCUGCCGAACCUUUUGAGUUUCAUGGUAACAGCUUCUUGCUUCUUCCAGCAAUUAAUGAUCUGAUGUGUCGAGGAGAGAAGGCGGGAGGGAAAGUGUCCGCUAUUUCGUGACUUUGGCCAAGGGACAGCCUUCUUAGUUCUGCAUCAAAUGUGAUAUAUUUUCAGCAGUGCUAACUGAAUGGUGGUCAGAUUGAAACCGGAGUCCAGCUCCUCGCUGUUCCCACGGCCAUCCCUGUGUGCACCAGCCAGAUACGUACAUUCAAAACGUGUGGGAAAAGCCCUUUAUUAUGAAAAGGAAACACUGGCUUUUGUUUCAGAGAAUUAGGGCAAUGUAAAAUAAAUAUGAUGAUUAAAUCCAUAAAUUGAAUGUCUCUUGAUUAUUUGAAUUUUCCUGAUCUGUCUCCUGUUAACAAUGUUAUCUUCUGUAAAGUUUUGUUAUUAAUAUAAACCCAGAUUUCUAAAAUCUGAGUGUUAUGCAAAUGUUAUCUAACAUCUUCAAGACGAGUAUACGUUUGGAGAAGCAUUAUUCCAUGCCUUUAUUAUCUAUCAGAAUCUAAGGUUUUAAAAACAUUAUGACUUGCCAAAGCCAUGGCCUGUGGCAGGUGAGGGAACAGAACCAAACCCGGAGUGAUUGGGAUCCCUGCUCGCUCACUGGGUGCUUAAAGAUGCUCAGAUGUCGCUAACUUAGCGAAUUGUUGGUCUCACUUCAUAAGCAAAGGUAGGGGUAGGAAAUAUCUCCUUUGGUAAAUGACGAGUCUCUCUCAAUGUAAUCCUGAAAAGCAGCAAAGUAACUUUAAAGCCUAGUGGGAGUUAUGACUAAAGCUUUUCUGAAUGGGAAUAAAGGCUUUGCUUUCUUAAUGAAGAGUUUAAAAAUGGAAGGUAGUUCCAUGGUGUCCCAUGUUUUGAGCCAAUGCAAUUUUGCUUGAAUAGAUCAUAACACUUUUUUCUUAUAUUAUGUAAGCUGAAAUUGUUAAUUAUAUAAGGAGACAUGAAUCUGGUCCUGUUCACUGGACUCAGUUGUAUGCAUUUUGGGGUGUUUACUAAGCACGUUUGGGUAGCGGGUUCCACAGAACCGGAGAGCGUGUGGCUUUCCCUGCGGCAGAAAAUUACUUUGGGGAGCUUAGUAAUAUUGGUGUGCGAUUCCGACUUCCAUUUCAUUUGAUGCAAAAGAAAUAAAUACUGGAGAAGUACUAGAAAAGCAUUUAAAAACAAAGAAGCCAAAGCCAAGGAGAGCACCUUGUCUGGCUCUUCGUGGGGGAAUGCGGGUGUUCCGCACCGAGACCGGGCAGUGAUGGAGCUGCCAUGGGGUGCAGAACUGGAACAGCCAAGGCCAUGGGCAACCAGAGGGGACUUCACCAUCACCUUUGCCUUCAUCGGGGGCCCAGCCUCAAUGAUUCCCAGAGGCAGCUUUCAGCCAGAAGGCUACCAGGAUUCCAUGAAAGCAAAUGCUAACAUAGCUGAAAAUUUUCCGUGCAGUUUCAUUUUUGAGUUCGGUAGUACGAAAUAAAGAGACUUGAGUCACGGAAAGCUACUAGGAGUCAAUCGUCACUACACAGAACUAUGGUGUGAAAUGAGAAGCAGAGCUGUGUGUACAAUAACUGGGUUAUGAACAGCCCACCAGUGCUCUGAAGAGUGGCUGCAAUCAAGUGUCAAUGCAAUUAUCCGGUUGUGACCCACUUGUGCACCCUGCAAAGAGAAAUGCAUUAAAUACUCCUCAUUAACCGGAAUGCAUAUUACGAUCCAAUUCACUUUUUUCUUAGAGAGUUAGGGUUGGAAAUGACUUGUUUUAGGAAAUGCCACAGCCAUCUAAUAUAGUUAGAGGUUCAUUAGUGCUUUGCUAAUUGGCAUCAGUAAGUUUAAGGAUCGAGAAAAGAGACUAGAAAGUAACGUGUCUGAUCUAGUUUCCUGACCUCAUUCCUGUUGCUAGAUAACAUUCAACUCUGAAAACAUUGUCACCAAACUGAAUAGUAUUACAACCACUAGCUGUUAAUUGCCAGUGGAGGAAUGAGAGGUAGUGAGCUUUGUCUUCAAUCUUAUCCCUCAAAGAGCCCAAGUCUCUUGCCAGGGAAGGCAGUCUGAUGAGUCUCUGUAUUGCUGUUAAGGAAAAGGAAUUGAUCAGAGGCUUUAAACAAGGUUUCUGAGGGGUUUUUGGACCAUUGGCAGCCACAACUGACGAAUACCUUAUCCUCACCAGCCUGGAAGGCUGGCUGGAUUCAUGAAGACAUUUAUUUUCAAAGGAAAAGCUGUCAAAUAUUUAAGCUAGUUGGUUUCUCUUGUGAUGCUUGUGUUGAAAAUUUUCUUGAGAUUUCUCAGCUGGCCAGUAAAUUGUAAAGAAAAAGAACACUGAAAAUCACUAUGCUUCCCAUGCGUUAUGUGUGGAGGUCCCUGCAAGCCAUCGGAGCUGGACUGGGACCUGCUGGGCUCCUGUGGCCCCGCGGCAGGACGGUCCCUGCACCUCGCGGGAUGUUCCUCUGGCUCUGCAGCACGUCCUUGCCUUUUCCAGUGCUUUCUUGGCCUCUCCUCUACUAUCCAAAGAGGAAUUGUUUGUUCUAUAGAAUAAUGGGCUGGAGAGAAUCUCUGGAGGUGUUCAAGUCCAGCCCCUGCGUAAAGCAACGCGGGCCGAGCUUGAAAAUGAGACGCAGUUGCUCGUGGUCUUGCCCAGUGGAGAUGGAAAGUCUCAAACCGGUGGAGAUUUUUCGGUUCCUCCGAGCCUGAUGGAGGCACCCGCUGGACCAAGGGCUUAAACAGAGAUGGGGCGUCACCAUAAGGAGCCUCUUCCUAAAAUCUCAUCUGAGCAACUGCUCGCUUCUGAAAUACCUGGGAGAGAGACCUGCUGGGAAUGAGCUCCGGUGGUCCCGGGGGGGAGGACGUGUGGAGCGCCGUCCUGCCGAGCUGCUGGGAUUGACUGCGGGAGCCUCGUGGGACAGGACUGCACAUCCAAUGACCCAGUGAAAGGCAACUUGGAAUUCAGAGGCUAAAUAUCCCUCAAGGAAAGGGAGGCAGGACAUAGAUGGCCAUAGUGAUACGCACCGCCCAUGCACAUGUAGUAAGGUAAAGCUCAGCAAUGGUGCUACCAUAACCUAUAUGUUGCAUGGAAAGUGACUGGAGGAUCAUGAGAAAGGAGGAAGGUUCUUGCCAACUGUUGCCUCUCUUGUUCCUCCUGACACUCCAUGGCUUCUGUUUUCUCCAGAUGUCUGGCAUAGUCUUUAGGGACAAAGUUGGCUUUGCUUUUAUGCCUUUCUCACACAAUCUCAUAGUUGAACACAGAAGGAAAAGAUAGUACUGUUUAAAAAAUAAGUUGAAUCUAAAGUACCUAAAAUAUUUUUUAAAUCACAAUCAACAGCUUCGUGCGCCAUAAACAGGUGUUCUUGAAGGAUGUUUAUUGCUGUGAUCACAUUUUAAUGGAUAAUAUUGGAGGUAUUUAUUGUGAGCCUAAACAGCAUGCUUUCUUAACAAAUAAAGCCAUGCAAAGGGCAGUCAGCAUGUUAAAUAAAUGGAGUUCAUUAUUUAGCAGGUUUUAUUUUCAGGAGCUUUUACAGUUGCAUAUUCAUGUCCUCUUGUGCAAACAUGCAAAUGAGAUUAUAAUGCUUGAUUAGAGUUGUCAAGCUUCCAUUCUCACACCUUUUUUGUUUUGUUGGGUUGGGUUUUUUUGUGUUUGGUUGGUUUUGGGGUUUUAUUUGUUUUAGAAUAUCUAGAGCAUUCUUCUCAAAAGAUUUCUUCUGGUUUUGUCUUGAUAACAGUGAAUAAAGAAAUAAUAUUUAUUCAUAAUUUAAACAGUUGGAAACUUUCUGACUUUGGGUUUCUUGAUGCACGUUUACAUUUUACUGCCGCCAAGCUGGUUGGAGGGAUAUUUAAUAACCUGAAUAUCUAAAGCUUCUGGGUAACCACACGUCUGCUCUCGAAAAUGCAAAGAGAACUUGCAGUUUUGAGAGAAGAGAUGUGAUACAUUUGGCUCUUGGAACCAAUUAAAACAGUAUAAAAUAUAAACCCACACUUAUUUAAGUAGAGGUGUAUUCAUCUAUGAUGUUAAAAAGUAUGUGUGCGAACAUUCCAGCGUCCUGAGCAGCACGUGUGAAUGUGGGUUUGUUGGCUGAGGCCCUUGCAGGCUUUGGAACCGAGCGACGUGCCUUCCGAGCCCUGGGGAAGGCGCGUCAGAGCGCGGCUCCCAGCCGGACUGGCUGCACAGAGCGGGACAGUCAGACAGGAACGUCUGUAACGCCUUUCGUUUGUAAGGGCCCCCAGGAACAUCAUCUCUUUCACCACGUGUAGAAAUCACCCAAUUUGUACAGAGAAACAGAAACAAGACAGGUUUAAAUAACACAAUUUGUGUACUUGGUUGUUUUGCUGUGAGUUGGAAUGCUUUAGCGGACAUUCUUUGGAAAUUGAAGUUCCAUGCAAGAUAAUGCCAUAAUGAAAGUAUCUUAGUUGGUUUAAGUUAGAAAGAAAUUACUUUUUUUGUAACGUUUCUUGCAACACUAAACAUCAUUGUGAAGAAAAGCAGCACUGGCACAUAUGAGGGGAGCUGAGGAAGCAGCGGGGAUUUGGGGCUGCUCUGCCGUGGGUCGGUACAAACACAGAAUCCCAGAAUGUCAGGGAUUAUUGUGGGCAUGCAGAAAGAAAGGAGAAGAAGGAUUAUAUUCCUGUCCUGCUGAAGCCUGUGCUGCAAAUAUAGGGCGCUAAAGACAGGAGCUAAAUACAACAGACAGAAUGGGCAACGCAGAAAACCAGUGCUGGCAAAAAAAACAGACUCACAGAAUGUCAGGGGUUGAAGGGCCCUGG